rnacentral:rRNA from 1 species
CCUACGGGUGGCAGCAGUGGGGAAUAUUGCGCAAUGGGCGAAAGCCUGAAGCAGCGACGCCGCGUGAGGGAUGAAGGUCUUCGGAUCGUAAACCUCUGUCAGCAGGGAAGAACGGUCACUUUGCUAAUCAGCAGUGAAUUGACGGUACCUGCAAAGGAAGCACCGGCUAACUCCGUGCCAGCAGCCGCGGUAAUACGGAGGGUGCGAGCGUUAAUCGGAAUUACUGGGCGUAAAGCGCUCGUAGGCGGUAUGUCAAGUCAAGGGUGAAAUCCCCGCGCUCAACGUGGGAACUGCCUUUGAAACUGGCAAACUGGAGUGUGUGAGAGGAUAGUGGAAUUCGAGGUGUAGGAGUGAAAUCCGUAGAUAUCUGGAGGAACAUCAGUGGCGAAGGCGACUAGCUGGAACAUAACUGACGCUGAGGAGCGAAAGUGUGGGUAGCAAACAGGAUUAGAUACCCUAGUAGUC